UAGGACACCGCGGCUAAGCGCUAACCCCGCUAACUUUGUAUAGCCCUCCGUGACUUCACCCCUCCUUUCCAGUUGACUUCAGGUGCAGUCAUUUGCAGAAUAAAUGGUUGUGUCAUUGCUGAGAGAGAGAGAGAGAGAGGUCAGUUAGAUUUCAAGUAUCUUCUGAUGAACAGAGGCUGGAGCUGUGGUCGGAGACUGGAGCAGCUCCCGGCUGUUCCCCAAAGGUAUGCAACUUCUACAGAGCAGCGACACAGGGCAGCGACUCAGGGCAGAGCUUGAGUAUGCAGCCAAAGCAAAGCACCGAUAACACUGCCUACAACAAGUCUGAUUGGUGUUGGAGGUACAACAUGUUCAGUGGCUACUUUUGAUGUGCUGUCACUGUGGAAGACAUCGAGUUGAAAUAAAAUGGGGUUAUGACUUAAUACUUCCAGGAUGUGAUCUCAUAACCUUUCUGAACAGUGCAAACCCCCGACAUAGAGAGAUCCAAUAUCUUAGAAUCCUUCAGGAAUUCCAGCCUCAUGUGGAUGAAGUGUUCAGCAUUCAACCCGUUCAAACAAGGUCCUAUAUCACACAUGCAAGGUCCAAUAUUAGACCUUGUCUUUUUGUCUGCCACGUAAAUAUGUUUUGAUAUAGAUUUUCUUCAUUUCAUACAGCACCUCUAAGUGUAGAAUUUGACACUUUCACACUAAGCCUUGUUCACCCUACCUGUCAACUUCUGACAAAUGGCUUCCUUUGCUGUCUAUACAUGUCGCUAUGGCCAGGUGAGCCGCAUCAUGAGAGGGACAACAGCCAUUACUUCGGAGAACAUACAUAUUCUCCAGCAUCUGCCUCAAACAGAAUCCACUUGCAAAUCCCAGGAUGCAUCUCUCCUGGAUUUCAGGCCAUGACAUUUCACCUAACACAAUGUCCACCCGGCUCGGAGACUUGAAAAAUGCAUCUCCAGAGAUUCGCAUUUAUUUCAUCCCAGAUUUGCAAGGUGAAUUCUAAAUGGGUAUUUUUAUACUUUCACACUUUCUGGUGUUUCAGAGUGUACAUUUGUUUUGCCGAGUUAAGUCAUUUUCUGGUGUUCAUAUAUAUAUAUUUUUAAAUUGAAACUUUAUUUAACUAGGCAAGUCAGUUAAGAACAAAUUCUUAUUUACAAUGACGGCCUACCCGGACAAUGCUGGGCCAAUUGUGCCCUAUGCGACUCCCAAUCAUGCCCAGAUGUGAUUCAGCUUGGAUAUGAACCAGGGACUGUAGUGUUACCUCUUGCACUGAUAUGCAGUGCCUUAGACCGCUCCGCCACUCAGGAGCCCUAAGCUAGCAUGUUGGCAAUCACAGACCAAGUGUGUAAACAGAAAUGGUAUAUUUUCUAUUGUUCAAAUAUCCCUUACUUUUUUCUCCAAUGAAUUAAUUAUUCCAGUCAUGACUGAAUAGCAUUUUGGAUUGCAGUUGUAGGGAUUUACUUGCAUGU